AAAACAAGGGAUAAUCCAGAGAUGCAUCUCUGGAGAGAUCCUUAUUUUUUGAAAUAAAAUGUUGAUCUGGAUAUGUAUCUCCGAAGUAUUUCAUGCAAAUAUGGUCAUAUUUGUAAGGUCUUUAUUGCUCUACAACUUCUAUAAAUAUGGUCUCUCAUUCCAUUUUCUUUACACAAACCAAAAUGAGUACAUAUCCCCAUAUUGCA
rnacentral:lncRNA from 1 species